UACAGAGGGUGCGAGCGUUAAUCGGAAUUACUGGGCGUAAAGCGUGCGUAGACGGCUAUCUAAGUCGGGUGUGAAAGCCCCGGGCUCAACCUGGGAAUUGCAUUCGAGACUGAAUAGCUAGGGUACGGUAGAGGGAAGUGGAAUUUCCGGUGUAGCGGUGAAAUGCGUAGAUAUCGGAAGGAACAUCAGUGGCGAAAGCGACUGCCUGGACCAGUACCGACGUUCAGGCACGAAAGCGUGGGGAGCAAACAGG
rnacentral:rRNA from 1 species